CUGGAGAGCUGGGAUUCAAAAAUAGUGAGGCUUUAACCACUAAACUAUAUUGUAUUUCAAAUUAAGAACAUGGAUGUCUGAAAUGAAUAGAAACAUUCUAAAAAGUAUAGGCCCCAAUGUAAGAACCAAUUAUAACUACUUAAUCAAAAUUACAAGCUAGUCAGAAUUUUGUUAUUUCAUUACAUCAAUGCUCAUUUAUUUAGCACCCAUGACUCAGCAUAGCAACAGAGGAUGUGACAAUGCAUAAUAACAAUACUAAGUGCUUGCCCUGGAGUCAUCUAUGAUAUGGCUGUGGAAACAAAACUGACACAUAGGACAUUCAUAGAGCAACCAACGUGUGUAGUUAAAUGCUAAGUCAUGUGUCAUAUUAAAUUGUAUAUUAGCAGGGCAUCAAGAAGAGAAAGAAUGCAGAAGGCCAGUGUGGCUUGGAAAAUACUUGCAAAGGAUCUUAAUGAUAGAGUGAAGCUGGAUGAGGAGAGGGGGUAGAAGGAUACACCUGUCAAGAAGAGCAGGAUGAAGACAAAUGGAAGCUCAGAGAGAGGAAUGAGCAUGGCAAAUCAAGAGGCAAAUGCAAGCAGUUCCUGUAGAGGCAGUGAGAAACGACCUCCACUAGCAGAGUUUUGUCUGGUUGCUGAUCGGCCGCAUCUGCUGUGUGUGAAAUGACAGACGGAUUAUUCAGGAAAUUCAAUACACCCACAGAGAGAAGCCAAACAUGACAGCUUAUUUUGGGAACCAUUCUAUCAUGAGGACACAUUUGUUCUUGGAGCAGCCUCAGAAAGCCUCCCUUUCAUCAAACUAGGUCUUGAUUAAGGGGACUGCUGAUGCCUGCUACAUAGAGAAUGAUUUUCUCUUGA